rnacentral:rRNA from 1 species
UACGUAGGUGGCUAGCGUUGUCCGGAUUUACUGGGCGUAAAGAGCGCGCAGGCGGUCGUUCAAGUCGAGUGUGAAAGCCCCCGGCUCAACUGGGGAGGGUCACUCGAUACUGAUCGACUUGAAGGCGGGAGAGGGAAGCGGAAUUCCCGGUGUAGUGGUGAAAUGCGUAGAUAUCGGGAGGAACACCAGUGGCGAAGGCGACUACCUGGCCUGUUCUUGACGCUGAGGCGCGAAAGCUAGGGGAGCGAACAGG